rnacentral:miRNA from 1 species
UCACUGGGCAAAGUGGAUCUUG